ACUCCUACGGGAGGCAGCAGUGGGGAAUAUUGCGCAAUGGGCGAAAGCCUGACGCAGCGACGCCGCGUGGGGGAUGAAGGCCUUCGGGUUGUAAACCCCUUUCAGCAGGGACGAAGCGAAAGUGACGGUACCUGCAGAAGAAGCGCCGGCUAACUACGUGCCAGCAGCCGCGGUAACACGUAGGGCGCAAGCGUUGUCCGGAAUUAUUGGGCGUAAAGAGCUCGUAGGCGGUCUGUUGCGUCCGCUGUGAAAACUCGGGGCUUAACCCCGAGCCUGCAGUGGAUACGGGCAGACUAGAGGUAGGUAGGGGAGAAUGGAAUUCCCGGUGUAGCGGUGAAAUGCGCAGAUAUCGGGAGGAACACCGGUGGCGAAGGCGGUUCUCUGGGCCUUACCUGACGCUGAGGAGCGAAAGCGUGGGGAGCGAACAGGAUUAGAUACCCUGGUAGUCCACGCCGUAAACGUUGGGCGCUAGGUGUGGGAUCCUUCCACGGAUUCCGUGCCGCAGCUAACGCAUUAAGCGCCCCGCCUGGGGAGUACGGCCGCAAGGCUAAAACUCAAAGGAAUUGACGGGGGCCCGCACAAGCGGCGGAGCAUGUUGCUUAAUUCGACGCAACGCGAAGAACCUUACCAAGGUUUGACAUGCAGGGAAAAGCCGUAGAGAUACGGUGUCCGUAAGGGUCCUGCACAGGUGGUGCAUGGCCGUCGUCAGCUCGUGUCGUGAGAUGUUGGGUUAAGUCCCGCAACGAGCGCAACCCUCGUCCUAUGUUGCCAGCGGAUAAUGCCGGGGACUCAUAGGAGACUGCCGGGGUCAACUCGGA
rnacentral:rRNA from 1 species